rnacentral:rRNA from 1 species
UACGUAGGAGGCGAGCGUUGUCCGGAUUUAUUGGGCGUAAAGCGCGCGCAGGCGGCACGCUAAGUACGCAGUGAAAUCUCCCUGCUAAACGGGGAGGGUGCUGUGUAAACUGGCGAGCUAGAGGACGGUAGAGGGGGGUAGAAUUGCUGGUGUAGCGGUGAAAUGCGUAGAGAUCAGCAGGAAUACCCGUGGCGAAGGCGGCCCCCUGGGCCGUACCUGACGCUGAGGCGCGAAGGCUGGGGGAGCGAACGGG